CGUUGCUGAACGAAACGAAGCGCUGAGAGUCUGCGAAAAUCAUUUAAAUAGUCCAUCAACGUCGCUACCUGGCGGCCAGACGUCGAACGAGGAAAAGUCUGGCCGGAAGCCAGUGGUCCCGGACGUUGCAAAAGGGAGGUUAGGUCGGCCCGAACAAACGAUAAAAGGAGUCAUCUUUGUCGCCAUUUUUGUUCUUCGAUCUCGGUACCGAAAGUGUUCCGCUAGCAAAGCUCUGACGUAAAGUUUAUUAAAUCUAUCUUCAAAAAAUGUCAUUGUAAUUUCGACGAUUGCAAUGUAAACAUGUAUCUACACAUUCGGCGUAGUCAGUCACGAUGCAUACGAUAAACACACAUUUGAGCUGACACGCGCACACGCGAGCAAGCAGAAAGUUACGUUCGCCUACGCUCGAGGCGCCUGCUGUUCCAAGUAUAAGCGUGGCAAGAGGUAGAGCAAAAGAAGAGACGGGAAGAGAAGGGAAGACGUAAAACGCACGGUCAACGGCCUGUUCUUUGCGGGAAUUCUAAAUACAUUUAACGUACAAGCCAAUGCGUUACCGUUACGGUUCCACUGUCACCAGAAAAGCUCACCGGUGCUUUCGCCUGGUUAUCUUUGAUAAAGUUAGAUGUGCUCGGCUGAA